ACUAACCCUUGAUCUGUCUGAAAUUGGUGACCCUGACGGUAAGUAGUGCUCCCGUUGGUAUAGUUCCUAGGGCCAUCAAAACACUCAAGCCCCCUGAACAUGGAAAGGUAGUCCAUCAAGGGAGCCUGAGCAUGAGUAUGUUCAUCAUGUUCGUCUUACUUUGACACCUGUUUAAAGGAAGUGUUUUCACUGCAAGUGCAUCUUGUUCUAGUCUACUUGCGCCAAUGUUAUUUCCUUCCCCAUCAAAGUUUCGUAGGUAUCACCUGUCACCGACCACCGACUCCAAACAUUAAAAAAAUUAUUAGUAUUUGGGUGGCAGUGGGAUAGGGGAGUGUAAGAUGAGUUAAUCGUCCAUCCAGCUCAUUUCGUUUCAUCUCCUUUUGUCUCUUUGACCUCGUCCAUCUCUCUUCCACUUCCACCUCCCUCUCUCUCUUUCUCUCCUCCCCGUGUACUCACAAUAAUUGCACGCUCGCACGCACUCACGCGCACACUCACGUCCAUUCGCGACCGCCACCCAGGCCGGCUCGUCCUCCACUCGAACCACAGGCGGCCCGAAAGGUAAAAGGGUCACACAGCCAGGCUUACAGGGAAGGGACGAGGGGCAGUUAAGCGAUUUUACAUCUCCAGUUGAUGUCUCUUCGCCGUCUGUUAUAUCUCCUCUUGCGGCUUUUAUUUCCUCCCUUCAUCUCGUCACGUUACCGAGUCGGGUCUGCCUUUCCUUCCGUCCGAACCAGAUGGGAGGGAGGCCGAAUAUGCCAACACGAAUGACUGUUUAAUUUGGCCCAACAGUCGCUUGCCAACUCUGCUAUUGCCGGGUGGGUGGGUGGACUCACAUUUGCUUCAGCUUUCGUGCAGGAACCCCACCUCUCUAUCCCCCACCAACCCCCUUACUCCCUUCUUCCGACCGUCUGUUAUUGCCUAGACAUAAAAAAUUAUAUUGUCGUAUCUCACAGUACAAAAGCUCGUUUUUGCUGGCUGGCUCUCCUAGCAGGCUUUGUCCAUGCAGUUUCUCCUGCAUCCGUUGGGGGAUUUUUCAACUACAGGCGCGGCUACUCAUUUAGGGGUGAGAAAAAAAAGUAGUAAGGGUGGGAAGAACGAAAGAAGUAAGGGUGGACGGGUGGAUGGAAUAAACACCAAGAAAAAUUCUCUACUGAGCAGUCGCGGGGACCAAGAUUAUCGAGCACGUGUCGUCACACUUCUGUUCCGGCGCUAAAUACCCGGAGGACCUGGCUGCUUCUUCUUAUGCUUCUAUUAUUGUCUCUUUUAACCACCCGAGAGCGCACCGCCGUUGGGAGGUGCGAGUGCAAAGCGUUCAAAUAAGGAUUACACUCAAUAGACUUCGUCUUGUGCCGGAGCAAGGGUCUUGCAGCGGUGUCUUCAAUGUCGGCGACAGGACGAAGCCGACUCAAAGACUUCAAAGACCAUUUCAAAGCUGAGGUGCGCUACCUGGCGGGGAUGUGAGGAAUGUAUACAAAUUGUGCAUUUUCCGCUUUUCUUUUCGGGGGAGAGAGAGAGAGAAAGAAAAAAAAAUCUCUUCCGGUUCGAAAUUCUGUAUUUUCAGGAAAGAGGGAAGGGGAGAGAAAAGUGAGAGACAGAAUGAACUCAAUACUGAACAACAGAAAUGCCCGUGCAUUCAAGAAUGGUUGUAAGUUAUUCCCCCUUCUUUUUUUCGGGUUCGGAACUAAGAGAGACGAUUAGCGAACUUCAAACCGCGGCGCAGUGCUGUGCCAUUGAGCAACCCGGCGUUCCGCUCACCUGGAUGACUCGGCAGGCGACAUCAAAGAGAUUAGAAACAGACAUUGGAGCAUCCCUGUGAGUGGCAAGUGGUCCGCGCCAAGGGGCGGUCACUCUUACAAACGAUGGACCAGUUUUGCCUUCAUUACACGCCAGGCACGCCAAGUGGCGGAGGAAGCUGCAGGCGAGACUGAUUUCAGUGCAGAAUGGCCCUCCUCCUGAUGCAUGAACAAUAUUAUUUGAAGACAAACUGCCCUCCCAGUCUUUCAAACAUGCCGCGCCUGGUCGCCAGUCAUUUCAUGAUUCUCCGCGUUAUCGUGCACAGUCUCACACCAGAAACUGAAAGAGACAGUGUUGGAGCAAGUGAAACAUCUUUCAGAAGAGCAUCUUUGAAGAUCUGGCGCUUGAUGACACUGAGCAAUGAAGAGUAAACUCAGAAUUGUGACUUCAGUUCUUGGACACUUGGAAUAAGAAUCCAGUUACACAGCAGAUGUCAUUGUCGGUUCUUUCCUUUCCUUCAUCAGUCGGCACCGGCCUCUUAUUAUCGUAGACGAUCCCCUAAAUCAUGGCAGCACGCAGUAAAGCAGUCAAGGCCUGGGAGGGCGGACACCUCCUGGUCCAGAGCCAGGUGCGGGCUGCGUCUUGGACACAACAUUUGGAGACGGAUUAUGCUUUCGGUGCUGUAAAGGAGGUUUGAUUAGCUGGGUGCUAACACCCAUAAAUUGUGCCCUGCUGUACCUCUUAUAUCUUCCAUCGGCACUUUUAUUGUGUGGAAAGGAUUUGUCGUUUUUCUUCUUCUGCAUCGUUGAUGACGACGGAUGGCCACGGCUUUGGUACGUGGUAAGCUUUUAGAGUGCCUGAGGAAUUACAGUGGGUCUUAAUGAGUGAGUUUAGUUCAUCGCAGGAUGAUUAUUUCUAAAAUCUGAGGAAAUAGUGGUGUUCGUGAAAUAUUUUCUUUCAAAAAUUGACCUUUUGACCUGAGACCUCUGGACUGUCAAACAUAUUUCAAGUUAACUGCCAAAACAAGACUUUGCAAGAAGAGCUAUGAGAGCGAAAAAGAACUGUCAAUGCGAGAUGUCAUGUUGACAGAAGAUUAUUAAAUGACUAAUUUAAUUAAGAAUUUUUAUUCUUUGAUUUUUACAAUGCAACAAAAUUAUUAUCCAUUGAUGCAGCGUUGAAGCUUUGGGUGAUAAACAAAAGUUGUUUUGCUUUUCAUAUGUAGUGUUUGCCUCAAAAAUAAAAGUAACCCUUAAAGAAAACAGUUAAUAAACCAGGAUUAAAUAGAGACAACUUUUUGUAAGCACGAGUAUAAUACUAGGCGUUAACUUCCGAUGAAAGUUUUGUCAGUAAUAUCAUAAUAAUAUAUUACAGAGAGAGGAAAUAAUGGAGUACAGACUUUAUCAUCAGUUGUUGGUUGAAAAUAAAAUUUCUAUAAAAUUAAAUAGAAUUUGUAGAAUCGCAAUAUCAAUACUAGUAACCAAGGCAACGGAGAGUGAAUAGCGAAACUGGUGUGGAGAAGUUCGAGAAAUACAAGAUAGCAAGGGAGAGAACUAUUCAUUUCUGCAAUUUAAAGGGCAACAGGAGUGUAAUAAUUUUUCUUCAUGAUCGGGUCAAGUCCAUUUUAAAGUAAUAAUUCCCGAAAUAUAUGUUCAUAAUUACGCAUAAUUUUAAAGAUAUAAGUUUUCAAAAAUUGGCACCAUGAAGUUAGUCUCUGUAAUAGCGAGCUCAGAAAAUCUGUACAUGUCUUCUAGUCAGGUAAAGAAACACCAUGAGGUUAUCGAGUUCAAGAAGCAAAUUUUGCCAAGAUGAAACGAAACUGCUGAUUUUGGAAGACAGCUUUACACUUUUGAACUUUAUUUAGAAGUUUCGACUGAAGUUACAAAAAGAAAAAGGUCUCAACGGAGCUCACUGGACAGACUGGCCGCUACAGUCCAAGGUUUCUAGCGCCGGAAACAACAGACAGAGGUGAGAGGUCAUUAACCAUUCGACGAGUGCUUCCAAAUUCUUGACUCUUUGUGAACAUAGUGGUGUGUCUCAUCGCAACUCCCUCGGGGCAACUUUUUCUGUUGAUAGCUGUCGAGCCCACACCGUGAGGUCUAGAUGCUAGGAGGAUGGGACACUGUCGCAGGGACGAGGAUUCUUCAAGUGAAGUCACAACUGAAAAACAAUGAAUAAGACAUUCAUUAAAAUCAGCUGGCUCUGAAAAAAACAAUGAAGAUGAAGAAGGAGAUUAAGCAAAUAAAUAAUCAAAAAAAUAUCAAGGUAAGGAGAGAAACAAAAUGUGAAAAAGAAAUACCACGAAAAACAAAAGACAAUAAAAACUGGACUUGUUUUUUCAAACAGGACCAAAGAAAGGACAAAAAAGAAAGAAUAAAGGAAAGAAAAAAGAAGGAAAUACAUCCACAUUUCUUUCGAUUCUUUAGAUUAACUAACCUGUCAAUGGCGUAGGUCUAACCCACAGUACUAGUGGAUGUGUAAGCUGACGAGCACUGCUAUACUCGUGGGAUGGUUGACUGGUGAAACGUGAUUCUAAAUCUCGGCCCUCGUUAUCGCUUGACCAUGAUGGACGACUUUAACUGCAGUCAGACGACAAUCUGUAAUGAGAUUAAAGCCAUCGCCCUGAUU